UUGCCCCGCUUUGGCUGUUUAACGGCUGCAUGUGCAGUGAUGCUAGAGUAGAACAGGUCUGGACCUUGUUAAUGUAACUGCUGCCAGCUUUCCUGUAAGGAUCCCCAUCCAGGCCCUUCAGCAACUGUAGGAGCGGGCGUGGUGUCGUCGCUACUGUCAAAUCCUGGACCCGGCAGCCGACUUUUUCCUGACUUGGACAUCAGCAGCGGAAGCAAGGGAAGUUUCAAGACACACAGUAAAGUUUGCUUCAGUCCAGGGAUCACAGUGCACAAAACCAGAGCAUACUUCUCUCUGAGCUCUCCGUGAUGUUGAAAAAGAAGCUUCUUCAAGGAUGACCAAAUGCUUACCCCGCCUUGUGCCCAGCUCAGUGCAGACAGAAGUCACUACACUGAACGAGAACUACAACCAGGAAGCAGUCUCCACCCUGAGAAGCAGCCAUUAGUACACAGAGGAGAUUCCAUGGACACGGGGCCAUCCACAGGAACACAAACAACCCAUCAGCUGCCAAACUGCUGAAGAAAAGUGACUCCCCUCCUCCAGCAGGCGUAAGUUGCCAGUGGCUAAGAGUGGAACUGCCUGAGUCCCCACCUCCAUCGAUGCUGCAAAGUGCGUGCCUCGACUUUGUGCAGGGCCAGCUUUAAGAGGACAGAGCCAUGGAUUGCGAGUGGGAGAGAUUGUGUCUGUAAGGGCAGAGGAGACACCAAUGAACUGAGUGCCACCUGCUUCCGUGUGGGAGAGACGUGGAGGCUGCACGGUUUUGUAAGAUGUGCAGGAGCUGCACGCUGUGGAUGCUGCACGCUGUGGAUGCUGCACGCUGUGGACCCCCUGGCCAGAAGCUCCUUGUUCUUACACUGGGAGCCAUGCAACUGUGCGAAGCUGGUUCCUGGUGGAAAGAGGAGCUACCAGGCCUGUUCACUGUCCAGAACUCGGCAAAGCAGAGACAUGGCUCUCUCCUAAGGCACCAGUGCAAGGAGCUUUCACUUCAUGGAUCCCAAAGUGGCCUAUGUAUGGUGGUAGGAUUUUCUCGGCAUCCUUGUCCAUGAAGGACAUGUGUACCUCCUGACAUUAAUGCUGCUUGGGAGCCUUCCCUGCUAGCCAGGAGGCCCCCAAUCUAUCUCACCUCCUACCGCCUCCUUGCCUGGUAAGUUAGGACCAAGUAGCUCCUCUCUCGCAGUCUGUGUCAUGGCUGAAACAUAACCCAGAUAUGAGGUUGGAGACAGCUGUACAAAGACCUCAUGUUCCAGGUGGCAUGAUGACAGAAGGCAGGGACAUAAGGACAAUAUGGGUUCUUUACAGAGAUGUCAAGCAGGUCUCCUAAGCAGGAACAUGGGAACAUUCUACAGGGGAAGUCUCCCUUCCCAGGAGGUUGGGUAGAAUCCCAUGGCUUUGCAUCGUUUAAACCGCAAAGCAGAUAUGUUCCUAAAUAUAUUACUGGGGAGGCAGACCUCCCCACCCACCCCCUAAAAAAAAACCAGCUUAAGUUUUACAUCUUUCUCAGUAAAGUACCUCCAAUGAUAGUUUUCUUCUGCUCUUUCCUCAUUUGCAUACUUUUAUGUACUCACAUUUGAACUUAGUAAAGGCCUCGAACACUCCAGGCCUUUACUCUACCACUGAGCCCCACUCCCAGCAGGUUAGUCAGCUGCUCCUCCUAAGUGCUGUGAUUACAGGCUUGCACCACCCUCCUGGCUUUUGGGGGGCAGCGGGGGGCUGAGGGUAGAACCCAGGGUUUUAUGCAUGCUGCACCAGACAGACUGCCACCUGAGCUGUAUCCCCAGUCUCAAGAGGAAACCUUCUUGAAAGACAGAUUUUUAUGAAUUUAUUCCAGGUGUUUCAGUAAGUUCAAACACAGAUGUUUCACAGGUGACCUUUUUAUUUUAAAAGUGUCUGUGCCAGAUCCCAAAUCUGGGAUCUAGCAGACAACUUUAUAACUUAGAAGUAUCCUGAGUAUGACGUAAGCCCCUCUCACUAACGAUGCGCUCUGAGAGUGAAAUAAUCUCGGGCUGUGGAUACGCAUGUAAAUUCUGAAUGUAUGACGUGAGUGAGUCUGCCCAGUGCUAGCAUUGACACACCUAUCUAUGUUCCGGGCAAGGAUGCAAUAAUGUCCUGUUUGUAGGAUGAAUAUCUCACCAGAGCAAACAACAUGUCAGAAAUAACUCUGAUCGCCUGGAGAGAUGGUUCUGGGGGCUUACUGUUGUUAUGGAUGACCCAGUUCAGUUCCAAGUACCCACAUCAGGCUGUUUAUAACUGCCUAUAACUGUAGCUGCAGGGAGUCUGAUGGUCUCUUCUGGCCUCUCAUGGCAACUGUACUCAUGUAGACAUAUCUUUACACAGACAUAUACAUGCAUACACACAAUUUUAAAAUAAAUCUUUUUUAAAAAAAAA
rnacentral:lncRNA from 1 species